AAGUUCGAAGCAACGCGAAGAACCUACCAGGCUUGACAUGCCGCUGACGGUGCAGAGAUGCAUCUUUAUCCUUCGGGGUACAGCGGACACAGGUGGUGCAUGGUUGUCGUCAGCUCGUGUCGUGAGAUGUUGGGUUAAGUCCCGCAACGAGCGCAACCCUUGUCUUUAGUUGCCAUCAUUAAGUUGGGCACUCUAAAGAGACUGCCGAUGACAAAUCGGAGGAAGGUGGGGAUGACGUCAAAUCAUCAUGCCCUUUAUGUCCUGGGCUACACACGUGCUACAAUGGUCGGUACAACGAGAAGCAAGCCAGCGAUGGCAAGCAAAUCUCUAAAAGCCGAUCCCAGUUCGGAUUGCAGGCUGCAACUCGCCUGCAUGAAGUCGGAGUUGCUAGUAAUCGCGGAUCAGAAUGCCGCGGUGAAUGCGUUCCCGGGUCUU
rnacentral:rRNA from 2 species